rnacentral:lncRNA from 1 species
AUGAGGACUCGAAUCAAAACCUCAAAUGUAGGAUGAAAGUUCUAAACUAAUCAUUUUGCACUUCUUCAAGUACAUUUUCAUUUUAUGUUUUUACACUUUUGAAUUUUGAAACACUUCUUCAAGUAAAUUUUCAUUUUAUGUUUUUAUACUUUUGAAUUUUGAAACACAAGAUGACAUUUUUUUAGUACCAGUAUCACCUCACCUCAAUUUUUCACUCCUUUGAGAUUUUGUGUUUGAUUUCUUGCCCCUUAAUAUAUUUUUAGUGGAAUUUUUAGUGAAGUUUUUAGCAUUCGCGAUCAAACCAAUGCUGCAAUUCAAGAAUAAUAACUUAUUAUUAUUGAGUUUUUUUACAUAAUUAGCUCACAAGUGGCAUAUGUAAGGAUAAAUUGGAAUUUUGGAAAUGAUAUUAAAACACAAGACUCUUGCCUUUCAUGUGAUUAUAUUGUUGAAAAAUGGAAAAAUUGUCAUUAGUAGAGUAUUUCAAAUAAGGUUCUAAAAGACGCUAGGAGCUAGUCGGGCGGCGGGCUAGGGCCUAGCGCCUAGGCGGACUAAGUGGAUUUAAGUAAAUCUAUUAUCUGUCUUGUAAAUAAGUGUUAGUGUUCAUUUAAGUAUGCAACAAGUAUCUUACAAUUUAUUGUAAAAAAUAAAUGCAAAAUCAAAGUUAUCUAUUUUCUGCUAAGUGAGUAGCGCGUCUGGGCAGGCUAGGCGGCUAGGCAAGCGUCUCAGCAGGUUUAAGCGCCCUUUUUUAAUUUUUAAACAUCUAGGCAUUAAUCGGGACGGUGACCAGCUGCCUAACGUCGUCUAGGAUUUUUAGAAUGGUAAUUUCAAAAUCUAACAUACAUUUAAGUUAUGGCUUCAAACUUAGAAAGAGAAAUAACAUUAGACCACUAGCUAAUUAAUUAGCUAAUGAGUGCAAUGAGUUUUAUUCACCUAUUUAUGUAUUAUUUUAUAAAUAAGCAUUGACAGUAUGAGAAGAAGUUUUAUUGAAAUGGAAAAAGAAAUAACAACUAGUCAGAUGAAGAAAUAAACCUUACUCAUCAAAAUAAAUAAAAACUAAAUCUAAAAAUACAAAAAAUAUGGAGGACAUAAAAUUUGACUCCUCGUGAUCGUGACAAAAAAGACUUAACAAUCAAAUGAAGGAAAGGAUUUGACCAACCAUCAAAGCAAAUGAAAAUAAAACCUAACCCUACCCUACAUGAGAAAAAUUGGGAACAAAAGUUAAAAAAGGAGAGUGGCGCUAGUAUUUUCCAAAAAUGCCAGUACAAGAUAACACAUGAGCCAGGAAAAAAGACUCUGUACAAGCAAAAGUUACAACACUGAAUUGGUCAACUGAAAGGGAAAAGAAACCCUAUUGGAAACUCAGAGUGUUUUCUACUCUACAGGAUGGCAAUUGCUAUUACCAAAAAUUCUAGGGUGCUCCGGACUAGAGAUAUUCCGAGUGUUGUAAUUAUUAUAUCUUGAUUUUUGAAAAUUUUAACCGUUAAUAUAUUCGUUGUACUCCUACAUUCUCCGUUGUAAUUGUAGAAAUACUUUAAUGCUACCACGUGUCUUGUAGAACAUCAAAUGGAAAGGAAAGUCAAGCAAAAGAAAAGUAGGCAAUGGAUGUUGCUUUUUUGCCAAAAUAAGGAAAGCAUUUUACUUGAAUUUGAAUUAGAAACUGCCUUUGUUUCAUUAGGGUUUAGGACAAAUAAUUGAGAUAUCUCCUUCCCCUCUAUGUAUUUGCCAUUUCAAACACGAACGGGCAUAAAACUGGAAAGCAUGACCAAUUGGAUCUCAUAACAAAGAAUUCAAAGAAAAAGAACAUAAAUAUUUGACUAUGAAACCAAUGUACAUCGCUUUCUCCGAAUAAAUUACUGAAAGUGUUAUUGGCACUCCAAAAAUCUCAUUCUACACUCCUCACAAGUGUAUUUUUCUUUCUAAAUAUAGAAAGUUAGGAGUAUAGAAUGAGGAAUUUAGAGUGCCAAUAACAAUUCUCUAAAUUAAUAAUGGUCAUGCAUUAAUCAUGAAAUUUGGAAAAUAAGAGCUUGAGUUGGUAAAGAUCAAUAUCAAGGAGCAUUUUGUGGAGUUUGUAUGGCUACCAUUGGGGAGCAUGAAAGCUAGAAGAAAACUCGGACUGUGCAACCUAACCACGCGCCUAAUUAGACCACUCUCAUAAAAGCAUGAGAGAUUUCGGUAUUUUGAUCUCAUCAAGUGUGGAAACUGUCGUAGUUAGUCAUCCGUUCGAACCAUAAGUUUCUCUCAAAUAACACAAUGCAUCGCCAUACCAUCUUUUUAAUCCCCUACUAAUGCUUAUCAUUCGUUGCUCUUGUUGGGGAUUUCAACACCCUCUACUAGGGAGCUGUUAUUAACACCCGAAAGGAGGGUGCAGAAUAACUGUAAACCCUGUAUUAAAGGCAGUUAUAACUUUACAAUCACUCCUCAACUUAGCUUAUUGCUUUUCAAAAUGCAUAUGUUCUAAUUUCUAGGUACUCAAAAUAUGGAGUUCAAGAAGCCAAAUGAGAAUGCAAAAACAGUAGACAAAGAUAAGCGAUCACGAUUUUUCCACUCUUCCACAAGCAUUCACACAAUAUAAACCUCAAUCAUAAUAUCUUAUAUAUACUAUCAAAACUAGGGCUACAAACCAAAAUAAAACCACCUUUAAUAGGCUUGAAAAACUUAACCUGCCACUACUCGCUUGAGCCCUAACACACAACCAACAGACGGAACAAGAAGUUAGAUUUGUAUACAAAUGUACUACAGAUAAAAGCUCGAAAUGUCAAAGAGCGAACGGAGAGCGAAGAUGACUACUUGAGAAAAUGAUAUUUAUCUCUAUUAUUCUUAUCUUUCCACUGCACUAGAUUAGAUAGCAACAGACAUUCAACUAACAUUGGUACCUUGUCACGCCCACAUUAGAUAUUAGACAACCAAGUCUGAUUAC